rnacentral:tmRNA from 1 species
GGGGGCGACCGGUUUCGACGGGAUAAGAGGUAGGUUAAACGGCAUGCCGAGUUUCCGAAAACUCGUUAAUAAAGCGGAACAUCAUAUAAGUGCCGAUUAUGGCCAAUUUGCUUACGCUUAAUUGACGUAAGCCGUUCUGGGUAAAAUGGGUCUGUGGUUUUAUCUAAGGGCGUCGACUACGCAGACUAGUUUCUGAUUUUGUUUGGGAAUCAGAAAUGAGACUUACCGAACUGGUUUCAACGAAAUGGGGUUUCCCGGCAUUCGUUGAAAUGAGAUAAAUCCGGAAAACUAAACAUGUAGAUGUUUUUCAAAUCUCUGUUUCGGACGGGAGUUCGAUUCUCCCCGCCUCCACUC